UCUACAGGCUUAACACAUGCAAGUCGAGGGGCAGCAUGGUCUUAGCUUGCUAAGGCCGAUGGCGACCGGCGCACGGGUGAGUAACACGUAUCCAACCUGCCGUCUACUCUUGGACAGCCUUCUGAAAGGAAGAUUAAUACAAGAUGGCAUCAUGAGUCCGCAUGUUCACAUGAUUAAAGGUAUUCCGGUAGACGAUGGGGAUGCGUUCCAUUAGAUAGUAGGCGGGGUAACGGCCCACCUAGUCUUCGAUGGAUAGGGGUUCUGAGAGGAAGGUCCCCCACAUUGGAACUGAGACACGGUCCAAACUCCUACGGGAGGCAGCAGUGAGGAAUAUUGGUCAAUGGGCGAGAGCUUGAACCAGCCAAGUAGCGUGAAGGAUGACUGCCCUAUGGGUUGUAAACUUCUUUUAUAAAGGAAUAAAGUCGGGUAUGGAUACCCGUUUGCAUGUACUUUAUGAAUAAGGAUCGGCUAACUCCGUGCCAGCAGCCGCGGUAAUACGGAGGAUCCGAGCGUUAUCCGGAUUUAUUGGGUUUAAAGGGAGCGUAGAUGGAUGUUUAAGUCAGUUGUGAAAGUUUGCGGCUCAACCGUAAAAUUGCAGUUGAUACUGGAUAUCUUGAGUGCAGUUGAGGCAGGCGGAAUUCGUGGUGUAGCGGUGAAAUGCUUAGAUAUCACGAAGAACUCCGAUUGCGAAGGCAGCCUGCUAAGCUGCAACUGACAUUGAGGCUCGAAAGUGUGGGUAUCAAACAGGGUUAGAUACCCUGGUAGUCCACACGGUAAACGAUGAAUACUCGCUGUUUGCGAUAUACUGCAAGCGGCCAAGCGAAAGCGUUAAGUAUUCCACCUGGGGAGUACGCCGGCAACGGUGAAACUCAAAGGAAUUGACGGGGGCCCGCACAAGCGGAGGAACAUGUGGUUUAAUUCGAUGAUACGCGAGGAACCUUACCCGGGCUUAAAUUGCAGAUGAAUUACGGUGAAAGCCGUAAGCCGCAAGGCAUCUGUGAAGGUGCUGCAUGGUUGUCGUCAGCUCGUGCCGUGAGGUGUCGGCUUAAGUGCCAUAACGAGCGCAACCCUUGUUGUCAGUUACUAACAGGUUCCGCUGAGGACUCUGACAAGACUGCCAUCGUAAGAUGUGAGGAAGGUGGGGAUGACGUCAAAUCAGCACGGCCCUUACGUCCGGGGCUACACACGUGUUACAAUGGGGGGUACAGAGGGCCGCUACCACGCGAGUGGAUGCCAAUCCCCAAAACCUCUCUCAGUUCGGACUGGAGUCUGCAACCCGACUCCACGAAGCUGGAUUCGCUAGUAAUCGCGCAUCAGCCACGGCGCGGUGAAUACGUUCCCGGGCCUUGUACACACCGCCCGUCAAGCCAUGGGAGCCGGGGGUACCUGAAGUGCGUAACCGCGAGGAGCGCCCUAGGGUAAAACUGGUGACUGGGGCU
rnacentral:rRNA from 1 species